CCAGCUUCCCCUGAGCAGCCUCCUAUGGCUGCCAGUCCAAGGAGGGAAUGAUUCUAAACAUCUCUGAACACCUCCCGGGACCUGAGGAGUCAGGAAAACACAGGAAUGCUGGGACGCGUGCCCAGUAUUAAUGAAGACAGCAGAAAGGAAGGCAUGAGAUUGGCCCUGCUCCAGAGCUGACGGAGAGCGUGGAUCCUGAGUAGUUCCUGGAGACCCGGAGAGGCCCGUACAAGGCAAACAAGCAGGCCCUGGGGUCACACACGAGGCUUGGUGGGGCAGACAGAUGCCGAAAAGGCUCAGAAGAGAAUUUCUGCUGGGAAAAAAUAGCCUCAAGAUCAUCCCUUUUGUAAUCACAUAUCAUUUUCACCAUCUAAGAAAGGCAAUUUUAUCCUAGAUUGAAAGGACAUCCGCAGAGGUACAUGUAUAUGGUGGUUCACGAUCUCACACUCUCUCUCUCUCUCUCUUUCUCUCUCUCUCUCUCUCUCUCUCACACACACACACACACACACACACACACGGACUUUAUAGGAUAUGUUAGGGGACAGGGCAAAGCUAGAACUAUCUGUCAAGAAAGGGGCUGACGCUGUAUCUCCAGAUGUAUGCCCAAGUCCCUUUGGCACCUCUCAGAAUCACCUCUCAACUCAGAAGCUCUUCCAGGUCAUAAGCAGGGGAAGCCGGGGCUAGUAUGGGGAGGCCACAUGGAUAUCAAGCUGAAAGCCAGUAAAAAAAGGUUUGUCUUCAUCCCAGUUUAAAAAAUGAACAGAAACUGGCCAUUGGCUCCUGUUUCUCAGACAGUGUCAUUCAGGGGCUUCUGGUCUCAGAACUUUUUUAAAAUCACGUAUAAUUCCUUAAUCCUUCCAAACUGACCAGCUCCUUUUAAGUUUUGACUGGUUCCAGUUAAGCUGGAACAAAUCUGAACAAUCCACCAUCAAUCCCAUCAAACCAAUUUACAAUUUACUUAGAGCCAGAGCCUCUAAGCUGCGGGUCUCUGCAGGAUUUAGAAAAUACAGUAGAGGCUCUCAAGGCACACAGAACAACCCAAGGGUGAUGGUGAGCUAUCUAUAGCACUGGAGAUAACCAUAUCUGCCCUGAAAAUUUUCAUAAGAAUCAAAAUAAACAAAUGGAAAGUAUUGUCUACACUCAAUAAAGAUAUUCACUAAAGGUGAACUAAUAUUAGGGGCAUGAUCAUUUUAACACUGCUCUGAGGUGGCUGGGGAGAUGGAAUUUAUUCAUAUGCCUCAAAACCCUCAUCCCCUCUUGGGAUGUAUAAACUGCAUUAGAAAAAAGACACAUGUCUUCUUCCUCCUGAACCCCCUCACCAGGGGCUGUGCAAUAAACAUGAGAUGCUCGUAA